ACUGCUCAGUAACACGUGGAUAACCUGCCCAAGGGUCUGGGAUAACCCCGGGAAACUGGGGAUAAUACCGGAUGGAUCACUAGUGCUGGAAUGCUUGGUGGUCGAAAGGCAACGCCUUUGGAUGGGUCUGCGGCGGAUUAGGUUGACGCCGGUGUAACGUACCGGCGUGCCUGUAAUCCGUACGGGUUGUGGGAGCAAGAGCCCGGAGAUGGAUUCUGAGACACGAAUCCAGGCCCUACGGGGCGCAGCAGGCGCGAAAACUCUACAAUGCAGGCAACUGCGAUAGGGGGACAUCGAGUGGCAUCCACCUUGGGUGCCUGUCCAACCGUCUAAAAAACGGUUGUUAGCAAGGGCCGGGUAAGACCGGUGCCAGCCGCCGCGGUAAUACCGGCGGCUCGAGUGGUGGCCGAUAUUAUUGAGUCUAAAGGGUCCGUAGCCGGCUUUGCAAGUCCCCUGGGAAAUCCAGCGGCUUAACCGUUGGGCUUUCAUGGGAUACUACAUUGCUUGGGACUGGGAGAGGUAGGAGGUACUCGGGGGGUAGGGGUGAAAUCCUGUAAUCCUCCGGGGACCACCGGUGGCGAAGGCGUCCUACCAGAACAGGUCCGACGGUGAGGGACGAAAGCUAGGGGCACGAACCGGAUUAGAUACCCGGGUAGUCCUAGCCGUAAACGAUGCUCGCUAGGUGUCAGGCAUGGCGCGACCGUGUCUGGUGCCGCAGGAAAGCCGUGAAGCGAGCCACCUGGGAAGUACGGGCCGCAAGGCUGAAACUUAAAGGAAUUGGCGGGGGAGCAC
rnacentral:rRNA from 1 species